ensembl:lncRNA
CCUUUCCCACGGGUAACACUUCACACACGACAAACUCUCUCUUGCGCUUGGUUCUCUCUGCCCCCCAAUUACACUGAAACGAGUCUCCCGAUUCAGACGGGAGAUAAGUAUCUGAAGUCUGAUGGCAGACCCCGCCUGAGUCUGGCAGGUCACGAGUAGAGGGCCAAACUAAUGGCCCCCGGUACCAAAGAGGGAGCCAGCCCAGACCCUCCCACACGUGUGUUCCCUGUCAAAGGCCAACAGUGAUGCCCAAUUUCCACUUCGUCCAUCAGAAGGGGACAGCUUGCUGCUGUGGGAGAGUGUGUUCCUUUCAAGGGGCAGAGGCGUGCCCCUGUUGUGAAAGCCUUCCAUCCCGUUCCAUAAUGUCAGACAACGGGAGACCCUUCUUUCGGUAAACACGGUGGAAACUUUGCCAGAGAGACGACUGUGACAAUGCUCGUCCACUGGCAAGGAAAACUAUGUUUUAACACCAACCCCUGUGGACAUGGCCUCAGGCAGCUGUUACUCGCAACAUUACAUUAACCCUGUGGUGAUUCCCUUUCUGUGUUAUUGGAAGAAUAGACGCUAAAACAUAGCCGAAUCAAAAACGCACACAAAAAUAUCCUGGCAGCACACGCGCGCAUGCAUACGAUUGACAAAUAAACAAUAAGCCAGGCACCGUAUUGUCUUCCUUCCUUUAAUUUAUGCCUGCUUACAACGGGUGAUUGGCACAACCACCAGACCGUAUUUCAUGCCACGUUUCGCAAUUACAUGGGGAAAAACAUUGCCAUGUUUUUAUUUUAAUUUCCUCCAGAUCGGCUUCCAUGUCCCAGACAGGAGAUGAAAUGCGCUGUGAUGUCAUUUUUCAAAACUUGAACAUGUACAUUUGAU